UACGUAGGGUGCAAGCGUUAAUCGGAAUUACUGGGCGUAAAGCGUGCGCAGGCGGUUUUGUAAGUCUGUCGUGAAAUCCCCCGGGCUCAACCUGGGAAUUGCGAUGGAGACUGCAAGGCUAGAAUCUGGCAGAGGGGGGUAGAAUUCCACGUGUAGCAGUGAAAUGCGUAGAGAUGUGGAGGAACACCAAUGGCGAAGGCAGCCUUCUGGGCCAACACUGACGCUCAUGCACGAAAGCGUGGGGAGCAAACAGG
rnacentral:rRNA from 1 species